AAACUUUCAACAACGGAUCUCUUGGUUCUGGCAUCGAUGAAGAACGCAGCGAAAUGCGAUAAGUAAUGUGAAUUGCAGAAUUCAGUGAAUCAUCGAAUCUUUGAACGCACAUUGCGCUCCCUGGUAUUCCGGGGAGCAUGCCUGUUCGAGCGUCAUU
rnacentral:rRNA from 4 species